rnacentral:snRNA from 1 species
GUGCAGCACGUAUACUGAAAUCUGAAUGAUACAGAGAAGAUUGGCCUGGCUCCUGUGGGAGGACAACAUGCGAAUACAUGAAGCAUUCCAUCUUUUG